rnacentral:miRNA from 1 species
AGGGUAUCGGUGGUGAUCUGGUA